CCUACGGGAGGCAGCAGUGGGGAAUUUUGGACAAUGGGCGAAAGCCUGAUCCAGCCAUUCCGCGUGAGUGAAGAAGGCCUUCGGGUUGUAAAGCUCUUUCGCAAGGGAAGAAAACUUAGUCUCUAACAUAGACUGAGGUUGACGGUACCUUGAUAAGAAGCACCGGCUAACUACGUGCCAGCAGCCGCGGUAAUACGUAGGGUGCGAGCGUUAAUCGGAAUUACUGGGCGUAAAGCGUGCGCAGGCGGUUUUGUAAGUCAGAUGUGAAAUCCCCGAGCUCAACUUGGGAACUGCGUUUGAAACUACAAGACUAGAAUAUGUCAGAGGGGGGGUUAGAAUUCCACGUGUAGCAGUGAAAUGCGUAGAGAUGUGGAGGAAUACCAAUGGCGAAGGCAGCCCCCUGGGAUAAUAUUGACGCUCAUGCACGAAAGCGUGGGGGGCAAACAGGAUUAGAUACCCUGGUAGUCCACGCCCUAAACGAUGUCUACUAGUUGUUGGUGGAGUAAAAUCCAUGAGUAACGCAGCUAACGCGUGAAGUAGACCGCCUGGGGGAGGUACGGUCGCGAGAAGUUAAACGUUAAAAGUAAAGUUAGUACGGCGUGAGACGUGACCGACGGACGACGACGAGGGAGGAGGG
rnacentral:rRNA from 1 species